rnacentral:lncRNA from 1 species
UUUGCUUGAAGCUGAUGCUUUGGUCAAAGGCAGCUUGGAUGUUCUUAGUCUGGUUAUGACACUACGUGGUAUGGGGCAGGAGUGUGGAAUUUUAUCUUUAAAGAAACUGUUGUUUCCUCUAAGAUGUGAUAUUGAGGAGCACUGAAGACCUUUAAACAUUUUUGUCUGCACUUUCCCCCCCGCCCUGAAUUUCCCACACCCUGUUAUUUUAAAAGGCGAACAUCAUCUUUUAGUGCGAGCCUUUAGCUUGCCAGCGUGUUUCCUGUUGGCUCCUUAAAUUACAGUUGUGUCAGUAGCACUGUCAGCUUUGCUCUCAGUGCAGUGCUCAGUAGUAAUUAUCAUAUACUUGUCUACAGAAGCAAGAACAAUUGGGAAGGUACAAAAAAUGUUUUCUGUUAUUAACAGUGAAAACCAUGUAAAUGCAAAUAUUGUGAAGCAGUCAGCUAGUCCUCUGACAGCUGACGGCCAAGGAACGCCCACGAGAUGUUAGCCUUCCUAGGAAGGGCACUCUCUCACACUAGUGCCCCUGAUAUUGAGAAUUGCGUUCUAGUGACUUUGGCGAGUGUCUAAUGAAGGUGCUGUCCUUUGGAUUUCCUGCUUGCCACAGAUGCAGACCCUGCACUUCCUUCUUAGAAAUUCUCAGUGAAUUUGAGCCAGACACGCUCCCCAGAUCUGGUGUGAUUGAAACCAUCAUGGGUGUUAAGUGUGAGGUGGGCGUUACUUUCUUACAGAAGUGAUUGACAUUCAUGAAGGAAUUGUGCAUCCCUCAGAGGUAGUCCUGAGCUUUGCUGAGACAGCAGGCAGCAGUUUGGUGGACAUACAGGCUGACAGGACAGCAGUCAGGCUGCUUUUCUGAAGCUCAUGUUUGAAAUGAGUCCGUACAAGAUCCCACAUCCUGUGAGAAUUGGUGGUAAACCCAUAGGGAUUUUCUCUUAAAACUUUGCACACUACUUUCUUGUACCAACUUUUUACACAAUACAAACUAGAAAACAGAUGCACAUGCCAUAAUAUUUACACUAGGAAAUAUUCUAAACUUAAUUUUUUUAAAUUUUUAAAUUUUUUGCGUGAAUGCACUUCUAUAUAUAUUUUUAAGCCCUUAACCUCUAUUAAAAAUCCAUUGGGAGACAAUUUGGAAAUGUUUGUCAUUUAUCUACUUACAGAUAUUUGAUUAUAAGUGUGUUAUUUUUUCAAAGAAACUUCAUUCUAGAACCUACCACUGCAUAAAGUAGCCAGCACGGAAGGGAGAGCAAGCAGUCCACGCAAGGCUGUAUUUUGAGAGUGUCUGGUCUUCAGAUCCAGGACACUGGAAGAUUUCCCAGUCUUCAUCACUCAGGUUGUUUUCCCUACAGCCUUUUCCUUUCAGCUGAACCCACUGAAGGACCUAGAAGAAGACUGUGACCCGGACCCUGCUGUUGGAGAGCAACCAUCUGCUCUUGAAAAAUUAAGUGAAUAAACGUAAAAGUCUAGAGCUGCUCUUGAUAACGUUUGCAUAGAUAAACUUGUCCUUCCUUCCCUUCCGAACUGUGUUUAAUAGGCUCGUAUUAGUGUUUGUGCAUUUCAUGUUCAGUUGCCUGAACUGUAAAGGCCUUGGUCAGCGUAAAUACUGUGUGCUCGGUGAGUGGGGAGCAGCCAGUAAAGCUCAGAUUUUGGAAUAGUAAAACACGCCACGUGCCCUGUAUAUAAAGAGUAUAUAUUGGUGUCUGUGAAGUGUAAUAUAUGCAGAAGUUUCUCCCUCCUACAUUUUAUUUUUUCCAUUCAUAAAUUUGUGUUGCAGAGUUAUUGAUAGCCUAAAAAUGAUAGUAAAUCUGUAUUGAUCUGAUUUCAGUAUUAAUACGAAAUGUAAAGAUAUAUUUUUUCCAUGAUCCUAUUGAACUGUACUUAUUUUAAGAUGUUUGUAGCUAUUUAUUUUCUGCCAAAGGAACAGUCUAUCUUCAGAUUUCUACAUUGGGCUCAUAUUUAGUGUUUUCUAACAAUUUUUAAAUUUCAUUUUUCAUAUAAAUUUUGUUAUAUUAGAAAAUUCCUCAAAAUAUAUAGAAGAAUUUUAUAGUAUAAAACAUUUUCUUGGGUGUUGAGUGGAGUAUAUUUGAAAAGUCAACAGUCAGCCAAUGUUGUCUUUUUAUUUGAUAAUUUGCUUAUAAAAUUACACAUUAUCUCUUUGCUUUGCAUUUAAAUAUGUGAUUCUAUUAUGCUAUUUCAAGUACUUGAUAUUUGACUAAUGAUUGUACUGUACAUUGAAGACAAUAAUAAAGUUUCAUCCACAUUUUGAAAAUGACUGUAAAUGUGGCUGGUUUAGGGAUAUAA